CUACGGGAUGCUGCAGUGAGGAAUAUUGGUCAAUGGGCGCAAGCCUGAACCAGCCAUGCCGCGUGCAGGAAGACUGCCCUAUGGGUUGUAAACUGCUUUUCUGCAGGAGGAAUGAGCCUACGUGUAGGCUAGUGACAGUACUGCAGGAAUAAGCAUCGGCUAACUCCGUGCCAGCAGCCGCGGUAAUACGGAGGAUGCGAGCGUUAUCCGGAUUUAUUGGGUUUAAAGGGUGCGCAGGCUGGCGUGUAAGUCAGCGGUGAAACCCUCCAGCUUAACUGGGGGCCUGCCGUUGAUACUGCAUGUCUUGAGUAUGUUUAAUGUUGGCGGAAUGCGACAAGUAGCGGUGAAAUGCAUAGAUAUGUCGCAGAACACCGAUAGCGAAGGCAGCUGACAGAGGCAUUACUGACGCUGAGGCACGAAAGCGUGGGUAGCGAACAGGAUUAGAUACCCUCGUAGUC
rnacentral:rRNA from 1 species